UACAGAGGGUGCAAGCGUUGUUCGGAUUCAUUGGGCGUAAAGGGUGUGUAGGUGGCGCCGUAAGUCGGGUGUGAAAUUUCGGAGCUUAACUCCGAAACUGCAUUCGAUACUGCGGUGCUUGAGGACUGGAGAGGAGACUGGAAUUCAUGGUGUAGCAGUGAAAUGCGUAGAGAUCAUGAGGAAGACCAGUGGCGAAGGCGGGUCUCUGGACAGUUCCUGACACUGAGACACGAAGGCCAGGGGAGCAAACGGG
rnacentral:rRNA from 1 species